rnacentral:lncRNA from 1 species
GACGAAGCAGAUGCUACUAGAUACGGUUCAUCCCCAGGAGCAGGACCUCUACUGUGGGAAAGCACAACAAUACCUUUCACACGGGCUGAAUGUGCAUCUUCAAUGCUAUAUGCAACUUUUCCCGAAUUUGUAUCCCAAGCGGUAAUAUUCCUAUCCUCUCCACCAGUAAACAGAAUCCCAUCCUGGCAACCAUCUCAAUUAGCUUUCACAUUUCAAUAAAGAAACAAUUGCAGUACUCCAGGAAGACAACUACCUCAAACAGAUAAGAUAUACAAGUUUCACAAAUAAUGAAACGCACCAUGCCAAAUGGUCAACGGGUUAAAAAGAGUACUAAUGAUUGACUUCAUUUAAAUUGGAAUUUUUCUCUAAAAAAUAAGGAAAUAAGCUGCACAUGCUCUUGGCAAGUGCGUCAGCUGCCACAAUUAGCCAAAUGUCACCUAAUCCCAGUUUUCUUGCAGCUGCUCUAAUUUUUGGGGUGGAUUCAGAAGAUAAAGUAACUCAAUGGCAUGGUAUUAAACACUAAAUGAUUAAGCCCAUAAACUAGUCAAUGAAUAUCAAUCAAUUCGGAGCUAUACUAUCUAGUUGUGACAACUCUUGUCAGGUACAUUUUCUAAGAUGCUUGAAGAACUGCUAGCAUUGAGUCAAACAGGAGAUUUUACUAAAGGAAAUCAAAAAAUAAUAAAAAAAAAUGCAUCUCCAAUGUAUUGAGUACUUGCAAUCUUUGUUUUUACUUGCCAAAGAGCUAUUCUUUUAAGUCAAUUAUAGCUAGAAUUACAACUUAUUCAGCAUCACAAGCAUCAAGCUCUUUUCGGCUAUAUAUGAUGCAAACAAGGCAAUCAAUUUCAUAUACACACAAGGAGAUUAUAUGCCAAGACAAUUGAGAAGGCUAUGGUUUCUUCCUAAAGGUGCAAGAGGACCCAAUAAGGGAAAUUGGGAAAAGACCAAAAUUGAUUCCUUCAGAGUUACGAAGCCAAACCACUUCUAUCAUAAACCAAAUCACGAUUACAAAGGCAACUCUCUCAGAGCAAAACUGAAAAGCCAAAACCCAAUGAUGUUCAACUGAACAUCUGCAUUGAAAGUCACUUCAUGUUUUAAAUCUCUGAUUCUAAAAGUUUGUGUACAUCUUUUAUAUCUUUUUUUCUUAAAAUGAAGAACUCCUUUCAAUUGCUUGCCCUGAUCAUUAAUUUCCAGCACAUUAGUUGCUUAAACUUGUACACCUUUUGAUAAGAUAAUCUCAUUGCAUCACCACCUAUAUCUCACGUUAAAGUUACUACAUAAGGAAGAAGAGAAGAACUUGUAUCUCCUGUGACCCCCUUUACUUGUGGAGUUUAUAAACAUAGCAUUUUCCAAGAAAAUGCCUUCAUUGAACUUUCUGAUGAAACACAUACAUUUCCACAUACUUAUAUACAAUCUAAACACAAGUAGAUCUUUGGCCUCUGCAUGCAUAUCUCAUGUCCUUGGAGUAGUCAAAAAGUGCAUUACUAGGAUUAAGGCCAAAUUUUGGCAUUCAAAUCAAAACGUUAUGCUAAACACCUAACUGGAAAUUGGAAUAGCUCCAACCAUCAGCUACAGCCUAAUGUGUGGCUUCAUUUAACAUUUCAGGCAGAUCAUACAAGCAGCAGUUUUUCCAUCACCAUUGAUAUAUAACCAACCAUAAGAAGAAAUACCUCAGCUUUUCAACCAACCAAAAAUGACUGUCAAUUUAAUAGGGGCAAUGAAAAAGAGACCAAACAACCUUUCUACCACUAAUAACCACAUCAUAUAACUAAAACAAAUACCCAAAAAAGGAAAAGCAAAAUCAAUUCACAAAAUUGACAAUUGCACGUGUCCAGUAAUAUCAAAACCAGGGGAAAUGCUUACUGCUCCAGGAGCAGCACAAAGAACCCUUUUCUUGAUAUCCAAUUCAGCAACUAUCUUCGCGUCCUCUGACUCGUGGAUAUUAAUUUUAUCAUCCAAAACCAUAAAAAAUUUCUCCCCAC